GAAGAAAGAAGACCUACUUUUCGCCAGUUUUCUCGCCCUCGCCUUGGAUCUCAUCUUGUCGGCUUGUAGAUUCCUCUCGUCGUCCUCCGUGAGCCCAGAAGCUGCAACAACACUAUCUUCAUCUCACCAGCAUUAUCACUUAUCUCUUCCCCUCCUCCUCCUCUUCCUCCUCCUCCUGCUCUCCCCUCACCAGUUCACCUUCCCCCCCCCCCCCCCCCCCCCCCUUCGCCAUCCCAUUACUCUCGUCCCCCUCCUCCCCCCUUCAACCCCCCCAACUAGCCCAUUCAGCUCCUGCCAGCACCCUCUUGGAUAUACCCCUUUAAGUGCGACAACUUCGCUUUCUCCGAGAAGCGGUGGACACAGGGAGGUACGGUAGGGUCAAGUUCAUUUCAUAAAAAUGGAACAGCAACUAAAUUAUUGUUAUUUUUAUUAUCAAUAGGCCUAUAGUCUUUUGAAAAUAUAUUUUAUUUCAUAUUGUAAUUUUAUUACAUGUUUUUUGAAACCCAUGAAAAGCUAACACAAUUAUUAUUGUUCCGUUUACAGAAACUCAUUGCGUUAUAUUUACCUCAUUAAAUGCAGGCAUAGAUGGUAAGACUCGAUUUGAGUUGGACUUUACAGCCUAUGAUUUGUGCAUGUGUGUGUGUGUGUGUGUGUGUGUGCAUGUGUGUGUGUGUGUGUGUGUGUGUGUGUGUGUGUGUGUGUGUGUGUGUGUGUGUGUGUGUGUGUGUGUGUGUGUGUCUGUGUGUGUGUGUGUGUGUGUGUGUGUGUGUCUGUGUAAACCGUGUUGCCCUCAGGACAAGCAGCGGCCAGCAGCUGUUUGACGCAUGCACGGAGCCUCCACCGGCAGAGUCCGUACUGGGGAGAAGUCCAGGCUUUUCUUUUCUUUCCUUUCUUUCUUUCAACCAAUGUUCCAUUUAUGUUCGCUGCAGGAGCUGCUGUAACCGCCUAACGCUGAGCCCAGAUCACCUGAAGGGAAGGCGAACAGACUUUCUUUUUGUAGGUGUGACUUUCACUUUGCACCUGUUUGUUCGUUUGUUUGUUUGUUUGCUGCAGGAGGUGAUGGUCUCCAUCCAUACGUCCAGCUGUGUGGUGUAGCCCGGAUAAUUACAGGUAAUAUGUAUUUUUAACUGUCUUAUUUAUAUACAUGUUUUAUUAUAGAAACAGAAAUCGGACACGUAAAUAAUUCCACAGCAUAUUUUGUUUUCAUACUGCUUGCUAUAAAAAAAAGACAGUUUAAGAAAGUCAAUUUACAGAACUUAAUUCGUUAACUUUUAAAUAGCCUACAGUUCCAGUUAAUGUGAUUUCAACUUUUUAAAUUGUGCAUAAUUGUAUCAUUAUUAUUUGUAUUAUUAUCAUUAUAUUAAUUAUUGCUAUCACGUGUAAUAAUUCUGUUUCGUUUUAUUGAAAGCCUAACCGACAUUAGAAACAAAUAAAGAAGGAUGGAUAAAAGCUUA